rnacentral:rRNA from 1 species
CCUACGGGUGGCAGCAGUGGGGAAUAUUGGACAAUGGGCGAAAGCCUGAUCCAGCCAUGCCGCGUGUGUGAAGAAGGCCUUCGGGUUGUAAAGCACUUUCAGUGGGGAAGAAAGCCUUGGGGCUAAUACCCUCGAGGAAGGACAUCACCCACAGAAGAAGCACCGGCUAACUCCGUGCCAGCAGCCGCGGUAAUACGGAGGGUGCGGGCGUUAAUCGGAAUUACUGGGCGUAAAGCGCGCGUAGGCGGUCUGAUAAGCCGGUUGUGAAAGCCCCGGGCUCAACCUGGGAACGGCAUCCGGAACUGUCAGGCUAGAGUGCAGGAGAGAAAGGUAGAAUUCCCGGUGUAGCGGUGAAAUGCGUAGAGAUCGGGAGGAAUACCAGUGGCGAAGGCGGCCUUCUGGACUGACACUGACGCUGAGGUGCGAAAGCGUGGGUAGCAAACAGGAUUAGAUACCCCAGUAGUC